AGAGGAGGCCUCAGCUUGACCUGCGGCAGUGCAGCCCUUGGGACUUCCCUCGCCUUCCACCUCCUGCUCGUCUGCUUCACAAGCUAUCGCUAUGGUGUUCGUGCGCAGGCCGUGGCCCGCCUUGACCACAGUGCUUCUGGCCCUGCUCGUCUGCCUAGGGGCGCUGGUCGACGCCUACCCCAUCAAACCCGAGGCUCCCCGCGAAGACGCCUCGCCGGAGGAGCUGAACCGCUACUACGCCUCCCUGCGCCACUACCUCAACCUGGUCACCCGGCAGCGGUAUGGGAAAAGAGACGGCCCGGACACGCUUCUUUCCAAAACGUUCUUCCCCGACGGCGAGGACCGCCCCGUCAGGUCGCGGUAAAAGCGCCCGUUACCACACAUCCUGCAUCCGAGAGCGCGGCCUGGCCCUACCCUGGCAACAUCACUUAACGACGUCUCCCAGGCUCGCCUCCCCAGAUCCAAUUCCUUCCCCUUCGCUUCCGCAGGUCGGAGGGCCCAGACCUGUGGUGAGGACCCCUGAGGCCUCCUGGGAGAUCUGCCAACCACGCCCACGUCAUUUGCAUACGCACUCCCGACC
rnacentral:lncRNA from 1 species